rnacentral:rRNA from 1 species
GGGCGUGCGGGUACUAAUACAUGCAAGUCGAGCGAAUGGAUUAAGAGCUUGCUCUUAUGAAGUUAGCGGCGGACGGGUGAGUAACACGUGGGUAACCUGCCCAUAAGACUGGGAUAACUCCGGGAAACCGGGGCUAAUACCGGAUAACAUUUUGAACCGCAUGGUUCGAAAUUGAAAGGCGGCUUCGGCUGUCACUUAUGGAUGGACCCGCGUCGCAUUAGCUAGUUGGUGAGGUAACGGCUCACCAAGGCAACGAUGCGUAGCCGACCUGAGAGGGUGAUCGGCCACACUGGGACUGAGACACGGCCCAGACUCCUACGGGAGGCAGCAGUAGGGAAUCUUCCGCAAUGGACGAAAGUCUGACGGAGCAACGCCGCGUGAGUGAUGAAGGCUUUCGGGUCGUAAAACUCUGUUGUUAGGGAAGAACAAGUGCUAGUUGAAUAAGCUGGCACCUUGACGGUACCUAACCAGAAAGCCACGGCUAACUACGUGCCAGCAGCCGCGGUAAUACGUAGGUGGCAAGCGUUAUCCGGAAUUAUUGGGCGUAAAGCGCGCGCAGGUGGUUUCUUAAGUCUGAUGUGAAAGCCCACGGCUCAACCGUGGAGGGUCAUUGGAAACUGGGAGACUUGAGUGCAGAAGAGGAAAGUGGAAUUCCAUGUGUAGCGGUGAAAUGCGUAGAGAUAUGGAGGAACACCAGUGGCGAAGGCGACUUUCUGGUCUGUAACUGACACUGAGGCGCGAAAGCGUGGGGAGCAAACAGGAUUAGAUACUUG